rnacentral:rRNA from 1 species
GAUGAACGCUAGCGGCAGGCUUAAUACAUGCAAGUCGAGGGGCAGCAGGACUGUAGCAAUACAGUUGCUGGCGACCGGCAAACGGGUGCGGAACACGUACGCAACCUUCCUUUAAGUGAGGGAUAGCCCAGGGAAACUUGGAUUAAUACCUCGUAAUAUUUAAGAGUGGCAUCACUCUUUAAUUAUAGCUCCGGCGCUUAAAGAUGGGCGUGCGACUGAUUAGGUAGUUGGCGGGGUAACGGCCCACCAAGCCUGCGAUCAGUAACUGGUGUGAGAGCACGACCAGUCACACGGGCACUGAGACACGGGCCCGACUCCUACGGGAGGCAGCAGUAAGGAAUAUUGGUCAAUGGACGCAAGUCUGAACCAGCCAUGCCGCGUGGAGGAUGAAGGUCCUCUGGAUUGUAAACUUCUUUUAUCUGGGAAGAAACCCAUAUUUUCUAGUGUGGUUGACGGUACCAGAUGAAUAAGCACCGGCUAACUCCGUGCCAGCAGCCGCCGUAA